GAUGAACGCUGGCGGCGUGCUUAACACAUGCAAGUCGAACGGUGAACGAGGGAGCUUGCUCCCUCCGGAUCAGUGGCGAACGGGUGAGUAACACGUGAGCAAUCUGCCCUGGACUCUGGGAUAAGCGUUGGAAACGACGUCUAAUACCGGAUACGAGGCGUGGGGGCAUCCCCAACGCCUGGAAACAACUUCGGUCCAGGAUGAGCUCGCGGCCUAUCAGGUAGUUGGUGAGGUAAUGGCUCACCAAGCCUACGACGGGUAGCCGGCCUGAGAGGGUGACCGGCCACACUGGGACUGAGACACGGCCCAGACUCCUACGGGAGGCAGCAGUGGGGAAUAUUGCACAAUGGGCGAAAGCCUGAUGCAGCAACGCCGCGUGAGGGACGACGGCCUUCGGGUUGUAAACCUCUUUUAGCAGGGAAGAAGCGAAAGUGACGGUACCUGCAGAAAAAGCACCGGCUAACUACGUGCCAGCAGCCGCCGCCGUAA
rnacentral:rRNA from 1 species